GCGGCGGACGGGUGAGUAACACGUGGGCAACCUGCCUGUAAGACUGGGAUAACUUCGGGAAACCGAAGCUAAUACCGGAUAGGAUCUUCUCCUUCAUGGGAGAUGAUUGAAAGAUGGUUUCGGCUAUCACUUACAGAUGGGCCCGCGGUGCAUUAGCUAGUUGGUGAGGUAACGGCUCACCAAGGCAACGAUGCAUAGCCGACCUGAGAGGGUGAUCGGCCACACUGGGACUGAGACACGGCCCAGACUCCUACGGGAGGCAGCAGUAGGGAAUCUUCCGCAAUGGACGAAAGUCUGACGGAGCAACGCCGCGUGAGUGAUGAAGGCUUUCGGGUCGUAAAACUCUGUUGUUAGGGAAGAACAAGUACGAGAGUAACUGCUCGUACCUUGACGGUACCUAACCAGAAAGCCACGGCUAACUACGUGCCAGCAGCCGCGGUAAUACGUAGGUGGCAGCGUUAUCCGGAAUUAUUGGGCGUAAGCGCGCGCAGGCGGUUUCUUAAGUCUGAUGUGAAGCCCACGGCUCACCGUGAGGGUCAUUGGAACUGGGGACUUGAGUGCAGAGAGAAAGCGAAU
rnacentral:rRNA from 2 species